CAUCAGAGCACUCCUGCACUGUUUGUGCUCUACCGGAGAUUUUCAUGCGGACAAGGCAAAAUCUCAGCAAGUUCGGACCUCUAGUACAAUAAGGCGAACCUCCUCUUUGGAUACAAUAACAGGACCUUACCUCACGGGACAGUGGCCACGGGAUCCUCAUGUUCACUACCCUUCAUGCAUGAAAGACAAAGCUACUCAGACACCUAGCUGUUGGGCAGAAGAGGGUGCAGAAAAGAGGUCACAUCAGCGUUCUGCGUCAUGGGGGAGUGCUGAUCAACUAAAAGAGAAGGCAACCAUUAAAGCUGGACAAAACUGUCAAAACAACUGUUUGAGUACUUUACCAAACAAACUGAGAAGCUUUAUUCAUGAAAACUAAUGAACAUAGGCAGAUCGCCAAACUGAGGCAGCAACUACAACGCAGUAAACAGAGUAGUCGUCACAGUAAGGAGAAAGAUCGCCAGUCACCUCUUCAUGGCAACCAUAUAACAAUCAGUCACACUCAGGCUACUGGAUCAAGGUCAGUUCCUAUGCCACUGUCAAAUAUAUCAGUGCCAAAAUCAUCUGUUUCACGUGUGCCCUGCAAUGUAGAAGGAAUAAGUCCUGAAUUAGAAAAGGUAUUCAUUAAAGAAAAUAAUGGGAAGGAAGAAGUAUCCAAGCCGUUGGACAUACCAGAUGGUCGAAGAG
rnacentral:sRNA from 1 species